CACGUAGGGCGCAAGCGUUGUCCGGAAUUAUUGGGCGUAAAGAGCUCGUAGGCGGUCUGUUGCGUCCGCUGUGAAAACUCGGGGCUUAACCCCGAGCCUGCAGUGGAUACGGGCAGACUAGAGUUCGGCAGGGGAGUCUGGAAUUCCUGGUGUAGCGGUGAAAUGCGCAGAUAUCAGGAGGAACACCGGUGGCGAAGGCGGGUCUCUGGGCCGAUACUGACGCUGAGGAGCGAAAGCGUGGGGAGCGAACAGG
rnacentral:rRNA from 1 species